UUCGACGGUGAGGGAUGAAAGCUGGGGAGCAAACCGGAUUAGAUACCCGGGUAGUCCCCAGCUGUAAACUAUGCAAACUCAGUGAUGCAUUGGCUUGUGGCCAAUGCAGUGCUGCAGGGAAGCCGUUAAGUUUGCCGCCUGGGAAGUACGUACGCAAGUAUGAAACUUAAAGGAAUUGGCGGGGGAGCACCACAAGGGGUGAAGCCUGCGGUUCAAUUGGAGUCAACGCCAGAAAUCUUACCCGGAGAGACAGCAGAAUGAAGGUCAAGCUGAAGACUUUACCAGACAAGCUGAGAGGUGGUGCAUGGCCGUCGCCAGCUCGUGCCGUGAGAUGUCCUGUUAAGUCAGGUAACGAGCGAGAUCCCUGCCUCUAGUAGCCACCAUUACUCUCAGGAGUAGUGGGGCGAAUUAGCGGGACCGCCGCAGUUAAUGCGGAGGAAGGAGGGGGCCACGGCAGGUCAGUAUGCCCCGAAACUCUGGGGCCACACGCGGGCUGCAAUGGUAGUGACAAUUGGUUCCGAAUCCGAAAGGAGGAGGUAAUCCUCAAACGCUACCACAGUUAUGACUGAGGGCUGCAACUCGCCCUCACGAAUAUGGAAUCCCUAGUAACUGCGUGUCAUUAUCGCGCGGUGAAUACGUCCCUGCUCCUUGCACACACCGCCCGUCGUUUCAUUGAAGUUUGCUUUUAGCGAGGUGACGUCUGAUUGGCGUUAUCGAACUUGAGGUAAGUGACAAGGGAAAAGUCGUAACAAGGUGACCGUAGGUGACCCUGCAGA
rnacentral:rRNA from 1 species